GAUGAACGCUAGCGGCAGGCUUAAUACAUGCAAGUCGAGGGGGAUUAGUUGUGUAGCAAUACAUGAUUAUGAGACCGGCAAACGGGUUCGGAACACGUACGCAACCUUCCCAAAACUGGUGAAUAGCCCUCCGAAAGGAGGAUUAAUACACCGUAACAUAAUGAAGUGGCAUCACUUUAUUAUUAUAGCUCAGGCGGUUCUGGAUGGGCGUGCGGCUGAUUAGGUAGUUGGCGGGGUAACGGCCCGCCAAGCCUGCGAUCAGUAAGUGGUGUGAGAGCACGACCAGUCACACGGGCACUGAGACACGGGCCCGACUCCUACGGGAGGCAGCAGUAAGGAAUAUUGGUCAAUGGACGAAAGUCUGAACCAGCCAUGCCGCGUGAAGGAUGACGGCCCUCUGGGUUGUAAACUGCUUUUAUCUGGGACGAAAAAAGGGAAUUCUUUCCCACUUGACGGUACCAGAAGAAUAAGCACCGGCUAACUCCGUGCCAGCCGCCGCCGUAAAAC
rnacentral:rRNA from 1 species